rnacentral:rRNA from 1 species
AUACGGAGGGUGCAAGCGUUACUCGGAAUCACUGGGCGUAAAGCGCGCGCAGGCGGUCUUUUAAGUUGGAUGUGAAAGCCUACGGCCCAACCGUAGAACUGCAUCCAAAACUAUUAGACUAGAGUGUGGGAGAGGAAGAUGGAAUUAGUUGUGUAGGGGUAAAAUCCGUAGAGAUAACUAGGAAUACCAAAAGCGAAGGCAAUCUUCUGGAACACUACUGACGCUGAGGCGCGAAAGCGUGGGGAGCAAACAGGAUUAGAAACCCCAGUAGUCC